rnacentral:rRNA from 1 species
CUUGACCCUCGGAAUGACCCGUGAACUCGUUAAAAGCACAAACACUGCGGGGGGGUGAGGGUGCGUUUGCACCCCGAGCCCUCUCGCGGCCCUGGCGUGCGCGACCACUACCCGCUGCGCCCCAUCGGCGGGUGGGAUGGCUGGUCUCGUCGCUUGCGGCCGAACAAACGAACCCCCGGCGCGAGUCGCGCCAAGGAACUCGAAAUGAUGAGGAGAGCACGUCGGCUGCCGUCGCCCCGUCCGCGGUGUUCGUACGCGCAGCGGCGUGUCUCCUCCGUCGCGAAAAUAUAUUAUGAAAUGACUCUCGGCAACGGAUAUCUCGGCUCUCGCAUCGAUGAAGAACGUAGCGAAAUGCGAUACUUGGUGUGAAUUGCAGAAUCCCGUGAACCAUCGAGUCUUUGAACGCAAGUUGCGCCCGAAGCCAUUAGGCCGAGGGCACGCCUGCCUGGGUGUCACGCAAWGUCGCCCCCUCCAACCCUAGCCCCUCGGGGCUUCGGAUGAGGCGGGGGCGGAAAAUGGCCUCCCGYGCGCUCCCCGCUCGCGGUUGGCUUAAAAUCGGGUCCUCGGCGACGAUAGCGCCGCGACGAUCGGUGGUGAUGCCUCGUCCCCGGUCGCGUGUGCUUUUGUUCGUCCGAACCCAAUCGAGACCCUUCUCGCAUCGCACGAGGGAUGCUAGCAUCGCGACCCCAGGUCAGGCGGGACUACCC